rnacentral:rRNA from 1 species
CAGUAGCCGCGGUAAUACAGAGGGUGCGAGCGUUAAUCGGAUUUACUGGGCGUAAAGCGUGCGUAGGCGGCUAAUUGAGUCGGAUGUGAAAUCCCCGAGCUUAACUUGGGAAUUGCAUUCGAUACUGGUUAGCUAGAGUGUGGGAGAGGAUGGUAGAAUUCCAGGUGUAGCGGUGAAAUGCGUAGAGAUCUGGAGGAAUACCGAUGGCGAAGGCAGCCAUCUGGCCUAACACUGACGCUGAGGUACGAAAGCAUGGGGAGCAAACAGGAUUAGAGACCCCAGUAGUCCCUGUCUCUUAUAC